GUACUAGAGCUACGGUUAAGUCAAUUCUCGAACUGAACAUAGAAUGUAAGAGUCUAGCUAUACAUGCCAUUAUAUAAUCUGUGAUAGUGUGAUAUUACUUGACCUUUUUAAAAUAAGUUUUCAUAUAGCAAUGACAUCCAAUCGAGCUGACUCCAAUGAAGUAAAGAGUAACGCUCAAGCCUCUAUUCACGGAGUACAUUGAGCGGUACAAGGCACGUAUCUGAGGGUUGGAAGAAGAGGUUAAAGAAGCAUUUUUCUAGAUAAUGAAUGAAUGGUUUACUGAGUUUGUAC
rnacentral:lncRNA from 1 species